ACCAUUCAGUUGAGGACUCUAAUGAGACUGCCAACGACAAGUUGGAGGAAGUGGGGAUGACGUCAAGUCCUCAUGGCCCUUAUGGGUAGGGCUUCACACGUCAUACAAUGGUCGGUACAGAGGGUUGCCAAGCCGCGAGGUGGAGCCAAUCCCUUAAAGCCGAUCGUAGUCCGGAUCGUAGUCUGCAACUCGACUACGUGAAGUCGGAAUCGCUAGUAAUCGCAGAUCAGCAUGCUGCGGUGAAUACGUUCCCGGGUCUU
rnacentral:rRNA from 1 species